CCCAGACUCCUACGGGAGGCAGCAGUGGGGGAUAUUGCACAAUGGGGGGAACCCUGAUGCAGCGACGCCGCGUGGGUGAAGGAGCGUUUCGGCGCGUAAAGCCCUAUCGGCAGGGAAGAAGGAGGACGGUACCUGACUAAGAAGCCCCGGCUAACUACGUGCCAGCAGCCGCGGUAAUACGUAGGGGGCAAGCGUUAUCCGGAUUUACUGGGUGUAAAGGGGGCGCAGACGGCAGCGCAAGCCAGGAGUGAAAGCCCGGGGCCCAACCCCGGGACUGCUCUUGGAACUGCGCGGCUGGAGUGCAGGAGGGGCAGGCGGAAUUCCUGGUGUAGCGGUGAAAUGCGUAGAUAUCAGGAGGAACACCGGUGGCGAAGGCGGCCUGCUGGACUGCGACUGACGUUGAGGCCCGAAAGCGUGGGGAGCAAACAGGAUUAGAUACCCCGGUAAAC
rnacentral:rRNA from 1 species